rnacentral:ncRNA from 1 species
AACGUAAAUAGGCAAAUAUAUCGAAAGGUAUGGACGCAAAGCCACGAGCCUAAAGUCUUAAGGAACACGGUCGUCGGGCUGCAACU